ACUGGGAGGUCAGGAUAUGCUUGUAGAUAAGUUGCAAUGUUUACAUCAGAUUCGUAUGGCCGUGGGAGGAGUGUCACGGAGUGUUCAUAUCCUUAAACCAACAUUUAGGUAUUUCCUUGAGCCGCCUGGAGUUGCGUGGAGAGCAGUGGGUGUGGUUUUGAGGCGUGGCGGGCGUGCAGGUGGAGAGACAAGGCGUGGAUACCCUACAAAAGGUUGAGGCCAUCACUGCACCAUGCUGGGAAGGACACUAGCUGGCAGAGGUGUUGCAUCUGUUGUGUUGCAGACCUAUGGAAUACAUAACUCAACAAGCCAGUGUUCCAUGCUCCUUACCUGGAUGAUUCACAGGAGCACAGGAGCAUCUGCAUUACCCAUGUUACAGCAGGCAACACACUUACACACAAGCUCCUCCUCUCAUCUUAUGAAAAAUGGUGAUGUGUCUAGUUACUUACUGAAUACCCAUAACAAUUUUAUAGGGAAUCAAAGGCAACCAAAUGGUGCAUGGGCUUAUUCUUGCCAUGUACAAACCAGUGGCACACCAGUCCUGCCAUUUAUAGCCACCCGAGGCCUGGCAGCACUAAGUGCUGUACAUUCAAAGAAAAAUGUGCAAAAUAGAAAUUUGCCUGAGUGGUCCCCAGGUGGUGUGACUCUGGUGGGAGGUGUGGUGAUGGGGGUGAGGGGCAUGGCCAAAGCUGGGGGCUUCAAGAACUUGCAAGGCCGCAUCUCCUCACUGCAAGUCAAGAAAAGAGUCCAGAGGAAGAAGAAAAGAAUUGAAGAGGAAUUAGAAGAGGCAGGGGAGGAGGUGACUGGCUUCGCUCCCAUGGUCAGACAUAAUUUCCUCACCUUUGAUCCAGACUUUACCCUCCCGGAGAUGCCAGUGCACAGGCCACCACUCAGUGAGUGGCAAGUUACUGCCUAUGCCACAGCAGAUGAGUACGAUUUGGAGAAGUUGCGGGAUGGCCUUACGCAGCAGGGUCUGUACAGCAUUGCAGACUUCACCAGAGCUCCUUCCCCUGGCUCUGUGGCAUCUCACUCAAAUGCUCCCCCUCUUGACCCACACACUCUUCCAGACCCGAAUGAAGUGCUGCAUGUGAUGGGGACCUACCACCUGGAGACUGAGCCACGCGAGAUCUUCUUCUUCCACUCUGGCGCUGUAGUGUUCUGGAAUGUGGCGGAGCUGGAGCGAAAUAAUGUGUUGCGCUUUCUGAGGAAGUACCAGAAGGGCGGCCAUGACGAGAGGACAGUCAAGGAGGAGAGCGAGAGCAUUACCUACGUCUACAACGACACUCCAGAGAUUAUACGAGGACAGAUCGUGGCCUUGAAAGAAGCUGGCUUAUCAGGAGCUGAAAUAGCAAGGAGUUUGGAGGUCAGCCGCACGACAGUGAGUUUGUGGUUAAAGAGAAUCAAGGAGGGAAACCUAAGCAACCGUCGCUGUGUCAUGGGAGCCCCAGGAAAGAUAACAGCUGCUGAAGAGAAACUCAUUCUUGAAGCAGCACGACAGCAGUCAGUCCUCAACGCCGUUGAGAUAAGACAUCAACUACAACUGUACCAUGUGUCCGACAAAACAGUGCGGCGAUACUUGCACAAGGCUGGCAUGCGCUACCCAGACCCCCCUGUGAGAGAAACAAUAAGAGAUAACCACAAGAAAGCUCGAGUCAGGUUCGCAACACAACACGAAGACGCGGGACCAGACUUCUGGGGUCGCGUGAUAUUCAGCGGCGAGAAAAGCUUCUCCUUGAGCUCAAGUGGCAAGCUGAAGUGCUGGAGAUGGAAUGAGCCAAGGUCCCGAACAAAGCUUGUGCGAGACAUGAUCUUCUUGAAUCCUGAAGGACCAACAGACCUUGAAAAAUACACAUUCAGCAAUGCCCUUUCCCUGUCAGUGCAGCUCGGCAUCUGGGAGGCAGCACUUGAUGAGUAUAUUGACAACAUUGAAUAUGUUUCAGAGGAGCUUAGCAAAACAGGCCUGGUGGUUCUAAGUCAAGACCAAGUACUGCAGAGGAUGGGUCAACUCUUUGCUCUCAGGCACCUCGUCAAUCUCAGCUCAGAUCUGCUUGAUGUUCCUGACUUUUAUUGGGAACAUGAGAACCUUGAACAGCUGUACAGGAAAACAUCGGAAUACCUCAGCGUGUCCAAGCGCACCUCGGUGAUGAAUGUGAAGCUGAGUCACUGUGUGGAGUUGAUGGAACUGCUGAAGAGUCACCUCAAUGAGCGGCAUUCAGCCCGCCUGGAAUGGAUCAUCAUCAUCCUCAUCAUGGUGGAGGUGGGCUUUGAGCUCCUCCACUUCAUUGAGCGUCUCUUCUGAGAGUGUGAGGUGAAACAGAAAGGGAAGGAAGAUCGUAAUGGAGAGAUUGAGGAAUAGGGAUGGCACCAAAAGAGAGAUGGAUGGUGGAGAUACACCAGUUCCUUGAAGAUAUAUAUAGAAAUGUUAAAAAAUCUUGAAAGCCAGUAGCCUAAAAGCAAAGCUGUUGUAUGUAUAUUGCUGCUGGGAGCUGGCAGGUUGGGAUCCUGGGAGCUGUGGCAAGGGAUCAACAACAGUAACUACAAGUAACACCAUGUAUGCAAGGUGAGGAAAUGGUCAUAGUAGUAGUGAUUUUUAUAUUAUGCAUAAUAAAGAAGUUAAAUUUGUCAGUUCAGUAUUCAGAAAGGAAGAAAGUGUAGUAAGUAGUUAAGGAAUAUUGGAGGGAAAGGAAUGACUGGGUGUUAAAGCAUAGAUGUACUCAAUUCUUUUGCAUGAAAAUGCAGCCCUCCUUUUAGUAUAUUAAUAUUAAUAUGAUGCAUAUAAAGAUGCAUAUAAAGAUCAAGGCACAGAAGUUGGUCAGACUUGUUGCUUGUACUUGUAUACAUCUCAUGCAUUCCUAGAAAACAUUGGCCAUUUUCUUAUUCUUGAAAACUUUACAGCAAGCUGUAAUUUCUUUUGCUGGAUUGUUAAACAUUAUCUAUAGCUAGUUUUCCUUAUGUUCUGUUGAUCUAAUCUGGAAGGAUAACUUAAGACCACUGGCUUUUGUUUUCUUGUAUCAAUGGUGUGUAUAUAUAUAUAUAUAUAUAUAUAUAUAUAUAUAUAUAUAUAUAUAUAUAUAUAUAUAUAUAUAUAUAUAUAUAUAAACAGGUUUUGUAUCAGCUGAUAUAAAUACCCUUUCUCUCUCUCUCUCUCUCAUUUGAUAAUUGUGAAUCCCUCUUGGGUGUCAUUCUUGGCCUGACCCCCAAUGCACCCCAACUGUGAAUCACUACUGCUGCUGGCAUGUAGUUUGUUAAUCACAGAAACCUACGCAAACUAUCAGGUCAAGACACAGACUCUGGAGGGCACUGUGGCUGCCUGGCUACUGCAACACUUCUUCAGCUGCCCAAGUGAAAAAGCCUCAUCACUGUAGCAGGUAAUAAUGAUUAAACAGUUGGUGAGGAUAGGUUACUGGUCUUCUGCUUAUGAAUAGGACCAAAGUAACAAUCUUUGUGGAAAUGCUGUUUACAUGAUAGGACCCAGGAUAGGGUGCUAUUCUUUAGAGUAGGUGAAGAAAAGUACUGCAAUAUAUCACAAAGUCAUCUGGCAGCCCCACAUUCCUCCAACCUAAGCCUUGAGUAGACUUUCACUGGCUUCAAUAUGUAAAAAUGUAAACAUUUUUUGCUUAAUGUCAAGGGGGAAAUUAAGAAAAAUUUAACAGGAUUGAGGUUUGGUUGUAUACAUCACAUUGGUUUUUGUCCAUUACAUUGGUUCACAAUUUUCUGAAAUUCUUAAUGUAAUGUCAAACACUAUUGAACCUACGAUUCCUUACAAGAAAAUCCCCACACCCCCUUUUAAAUCCUGAACAUUAAAUUCACCACAAAUCAUUAAAUAAAUUUAUACUUUAAGCCCAUAUUACACAAUGAACAUAUUUUUCAAUAAAUUGGUGCUCCUCAGUCAGUCUCCAACACAACCAAGUUAAUCAAAAUAUAUGUAACAACUGUACUAUGUGACAGAUCUGCACAAAGUGUUUUGUGGAGGUGGUGUCACAAAGGGUGUACAAGUUAUCAUCAGCACAGCAAUUCUUGAACUCAUAUUUUCUAUAAGAUGUAUCACAAGAGAAAGAAAAUGGAAAGAUCAGAUGCAAAUACCAUCCAGGAACCAGCUCUGAAAAUGGGUAGAAUAAGACUGGACAUAACCUGCUCAAUGUAAACAACACUGAAUUCAAAGUUAAAGCCUUACUAAAUUUUACGGAACCUCAUUUGAUAUUUUCCAUUAAAUUGGUAACUUUGAAAUUAUUAUUUCAACAAAAAGUCAAAUUUACUUUAGCAAAGUUAGGUGGUAGAGAAAAGGUUGUCUGUCAUAAGGAAACCUGUGUAAUACUGGUUUUAACUAUAGCCAACCUACUAAUUAAAACUGUACAAAAUAUACUGAUCUAUUAAUGAACUUCUAUUAACUGGAUAUUACCAAACUGAAAUAUUUAGGGAAAUUCACACCCCAAGUGACAAGAAGUAUACAUAUGAUGAAACACUGUUUAGUGUUUAGCUGCAUUUUUUUUUUUUUUUUUUUUUUUUCUCACUGGUAACAAGAGAAAGGAGAACAGAAAAUAAGUAUGAAGAAUUAGGGAAAUACUGCACAGCACAUUCAUAAAACCUUAUGGUUCCAUAAGUGAUGAUAAUUUAAUAUUCCUCCUUCCCACCUAAAAAAAAAAAAAUUGAAAAGUAUUGAAUUAAACAGUCCAAGGUAUCCCACAGCACAUUAUUCUUACUUACUUUUGCUUCUGAACAAAAUUAUUGUGUUCAUUUGUACAACUACACAAUAGUGAUGCACACUAGCAAGGUAGUAUAGCAUUUACAGCAAUGGAAAACCAAUACAGUAAGUCCUUGGUGGAUGUUAAUAUCUAGAAAAUUAACAAAAUUACCCUGAGAAAGUUUCUGUACUGUGGGAUGAUUAUUUAUUUUAUUUUUUUCCCAUUUAUGCAAGUCAUUCAAGGACUUCCUGUACUAUUCACAUUAUACCAAAUGCACCCCAUUAAUACAGAGAUCUCUUAGAAGACGAAAGGAAUUGGUCUGAAUGAGUACAAAGAUACUCCAAUAAUACAGGCUUUAGAUUUCAACUUGUAGGGGCUCCUUUAACUCAAGCAUCCAAAGAUCUUUACCAUCCACAAGACAACAAAAGCACACAUUACAAGAUUGAACAAGUUCACUAUCAGUCUAAACCUUGUAUAGGAAGGGAAAAUGGCCAUCAGUAAAAGCCAAAGUUCAGUCCCA